GUAGAGUGCAAAGGCAUAAGGGAGCUUGACUGCGAGACCUACAAGUCGAGCAGGGACGAAAGUCGGGCUUAGUGAUCCGGUGGUUCCGCAUGGAAGGGCCAUCGCUCAACGGAUAAAAGCUACCCCGGGGAUAACAGGCUUAUCUCCCCCAAGAGUCCACAUCGACGGGGAGGUUUGGCACCUCGAUGUCGGCUCAUCGCAUCCUGGGGCUGUAGUCGGUCCCAAGGGUUGGGCUGUUCGCCCAUUAAAGCGGUACGCGAGCUGGGUUCAGAACGUCGUGAGACAGUUCGGUCCCUAUCCGUCGUGGGCGUAGGAAAUUUGAGAGGAGCUGUCCUUAGUACGAGAGGACCGGGAUGGACGCACCGCUGGUGUACCAGUUGUUCUGCCAAGGGCAUAGCUGGGUAGCUAUGUGCGGAAGGGAUAAGUGCUGAAAGCAUCUAAGCAUGAAGCCCCCCUCAAGAUGAGAUUUCCCAUAGCGUAAGCUAGUAAGAUCCCUGAAAGAUGAUCAGGUUGAUAGGUUCGAGGUGGAAGCAUGGUGACAUGUGGAGCUGACGAAUACUAAUAGAUCGAGGACUUAACCAUAUAA
rnacentral:rRNA from 1 species